rnacentral:tRNA from 1 species
UGAGGUGUAGCUCAGUGAUACAGCAACUGUCUAGCAUGCACAAGGCCCUGGAUUUAAUCCCCAGCACUGCAA